UACGUAGGGUGCAAGCGUUGUCCGGAAUCAUUGGGCGUAAAGAGCUCGUAGGCGGCUCGGUAAGUCGGGUGUGAAACCCCCAGGCUCAACCUGGGGACGCCACCCGAUACUGCUGUGGCUAGAGUCCAGUAGGGGAGUGUGGAAUUCCCGGUGUAGCGGUGAAAUGCGCAGAUAUCGGGAGGAACACCAGCGGCGAAGGCGGCUUCCUGGCCUGCUCUUGACGCUGAGGCGCGAAAGCUAGGGUAGCAAACGGG
rnacentral:rRNA from 1 species